rnacentral:lncRNA from 1 species
AAAGACCCUAUAUUUCUCCUUAUUGAAGGCAUCCAUGCAUACAUGAAUUUCCAAUAACAACCUUUCUUUCUUAAUUCACUCAUUAAAUAAUUUUGUUGUGAUUUGCAAGGUAGUUUCAAAAUAUAUAUACACAAAUCAACACUUGAAUAGUCAUUUUUAAAAGUAUUUUUUGAAAUUAGGAGAGAAUAAUUAAUUAACUAUUUAAUAGUUGCAUAUUCGUGGGAAUAUGGUCAUUGGUCAAACAUACACACAGUGAUACUACACUAGCCAGUUUAUUAUUUCUCUAUGCUUCUUCAUAAGCUGCAAAGUUUUCAAAAUAGCAAGAAACAUCGUAUAAAUAUAUCUUACCAAGGAAAAACUAUAAGGUAUGAAACUAUCUCUAUUCUGGUGUGUUCUUCCUUUCUAACUUUAUUUUUAUGCUCUUUCGUAUUUCUUGAAUUAUUCUCCAUGAUUUAUAGGAUUAAAGAUGAGGCUGAGUUAAUGAAAUGGAUGAUGUAGAAAGCAAAUCAAGAUAUUGACGCGCCUCAAUUUGACGACAUGGCUAUAAAAAAUCAUCAUAUCAUAUCAGCCAUGUAGUUUGAUUGAGCCGCGUCAAUAUCUUGUUUCCAUCUCCAAAUUUUCCAAUCUCAUCAAGCCUCAUAAACAAGGUAUGUAUAUAAUAAUAUACACAUAUUUCUGCAGAAAAAAUAAAUUAAGUUCUUAGUUUAUGUCUCCUCAUCUUGAUGAAUAUCUAUAUAUAUUGAUAACAUUAUGAGAAAGGAUGAUUCUGGAUGUAGAACAUGAUCAUCUCCAUGAAAAUUACAAUCAAGAUUUCCGCAGCUACCAUAUUUGAAUGGUAGGUAGGUUAAUAAUACAUAUAUAAAAAUAGGAAGUAGGUAAAAUUGGGGUAUCAUAGCUUACUAGUUGCAUCAAUGAGCUAUAUAUAAUAUUGUAUUUUCUGAUAAUAUAUAUGUAUUCAUAAGUAGAAAUAAUUCUAUAAAUAAAUAUAUAGGAUACCGGGGAAGGAUAUAGCUAGAGAAUCAAUUUGAGAAUCUGGUCCGUAUGAACUUGUGUUUAUUAUAUGUUUAUGAUCUAAUUUUAGUUUAUAUUGUUAAGCUGUCGCAUUAAGAUCUAUAUGAAGCUAGCUAGACCCAUUUAUAAUCACUAUAUAGCUAGUUAUAUAGUUAGGUCAUGUUUUAUAUCUGAUUUGUUGUGAUUGAAAUGUAUGUGGUUUGAUUUUUAAUUCAAUGACUCUAACUAAGUGAUUCUUAACUGUUUUGAUCAUGUUUUUCUUGCAACAAAACCUGAAUCCAACUGUUGGAUAGUUAUAAGUAUUGGACUUUAAUUAUAUUAUAUGUAUUUUAAUAAUCAUAGGAAUUAUGAUAUGUUAUUACUAAUUUUAUAUUAUAAAGAUCUCCACAAAUCAUGAACAUGUUUGUUUUAAUUUUUAAAUUUUUUGUAUGAAAAUAAUAAAAUAGUUUAAGAAUAAUAUUUAUGUAAUAGAUUUCAUGUCAAUGAAUAUUUUUUAUUUACUUAUAAUAUAAAUUGAAUAAUUAGUCAUGUCGUGGGACUAAUCACUUGUUGGUUUAAAAUUUAGGGAUAUAGAAAAUUGGGGAUGGAUUUUAGCAUUGUAGAAAAAUGAUAUAUACUUCAUGCAUGAUGUCAAAAUGAAAAAGAGUGACAGAGACUGGUUGUAGAGAGGGGACAAGCAGAAUUAAUGAAGGGAAUCCUUCGUUUUCAAGAACUGCUGUAGCUAAAAUCUUGAUGCAAACUGGAAUGGGACCUAUUAAUUACUCUUUAAUUUUCUGGGUUUGCAUUAAUUUCUAUGCCAUAAUAGGUUGUGUCCUCAUGCAUGUUGCUAGACAGUAGCUAGGCCAGGUCUUGUAAUAUGUUUUUUUUUUCUUUCAUUCAAAUUGUUUUUAAAGGGAUGGACACUCUACAAGUCUAUUUCGUACUAGCUUAUAGUACAAUAUCUAUUAAACCUGCUAUGGUUAAAUUCAAUCUAUUAAACCUGCUAUGGUUAAAUUCGAAGAGCUUUCCUAAUUUGACACCAUUUUUCAAUUAAUCGUAUGAUAUAGGACUCUUUUUUUCUUAUUUUUAAGCAAAAAAAGUCUUAUAAUGUCUUUAUUCUAAAAUUAUUCCUGUAUUAAUUAUUUAAUUUUGUUAAUAGAUAAUAAUUUAAUUGAGAGUAUGAUAGUAAGGAUAUGUUAACUUGUGUCUUAGAGGUACA